rnacentral:rRNA from 1 species
UGGGGAAUCUUGCGCAAUGGGCGAAAGCCUGACGCAGCAACGCCGCGUGAGCGAAGACGGCCUUCGGGUUGUAAAGCUCUGUCAGGAGGGACGAAGCCACUCAGGUGAACAGCCGAGAGGGUGACGGUACCUCCAGAGGAAGCCCCGGCUAACUACGUGCCAGCAGCCGCGGUAAUACGUAGGGGGCUAGCGUUGUCCGGAAUCAUUGGGCGUAAAGCGCGUGUAGGCGGCCUGCCAAGUCCGGUGUGAAAGCUCGGGGCUCAACCCCGAGUCUGCACUGGAAACUGGCUGGCUAGAGUCCGGAAGAGGAGACUGGAAUUCCUGGUGUAGCGGUGAAAUGCGCAGAUAUCAGGAAGAACACCGGUGGCGAAGGCGGCUUCCUGGACCGACACUGACGCUGAGGCGCGAAAGCUAGGGGAGCAAACGGGAUUAGAUACCCCGGUAGUCCUAGCUGUAAACGAUGAGCGCUGGGUGUAGGGGGUAUGAACCCCCCCUGUGCCGAAGCUAACGCAUUAAGCGCUCCGCCUGGGGAGUACGGUCGCAAGGCUG